GUGUCAGCCGCCGCGGUAAUACGUAGGCAGCGAGCGUUGUUCGGAGUUACUGGGCGUAAAGGGUGUGUAGGCGGCUUGCCAAGUUCGGUGCGAAAUCUCCCGGCUUAACUGGGAGGGUGCGCCGAAUACUGGCAGGCUUGAGUGCGGGAUGGGAGAGCGGAAUUCCUGGUGUAGCGGUGAAACGCGUAGAGAUCAGGAGGAACACCUGCGGUGUAGACGGCUCUCUGGACCGCCACUGACGCUGAGACACGAAAGCGUGGGUAGCAAACAGGAUUAGAUACCCUGGUAGUCCACGCCCUAAACGAUGCAUACUUGGUGUGGGCAGUUCAUUCUGCCCGUGCCGAAGCUAACGCGUUAAGUAUGCCGCCUGGGGAGUACGGUCGCAAGGCUGAAACUCAAAUGAAUUGGCGGGG
rnacentral:rRNA from 1 species